rnacentral:rRNA from 1 species
UACGUAGGGGGGCUAGCGUUGUCCGGAUUUAUUGGGCGUAAAGAGCGUGUAGGCGGCCAGGUAGGUCUGCUGUGAAAACUCGAGGCUCAACCUCGAGAUGUCGGCGGAAACCAUCUGGCUAGAGUCCGGAAGAGGAGAGUGGAAUUCCUGGUGUAGCGGUGAAAUGCGCAGAUAUCAGGAAGAACACCCGUGGCGAAGGCGGCUCUCUGGGGACGGUACUGACGCUGAGACGCGAAAAGCGUGGGGGAGCGAACAGG